AGUAGAGUGUGGUUGCUUAAGAACACAGAUUUUAAAGCAUAGUAGAUUUGGGUCCAAAUCCUGGUUCUGACACUUGAUGUGCUUUUAUUGUCACAGGUAGGAAUCAUUAUCCCCAUUUUCCAGAUGGAGCCUUAUUCUUCUCUCAGAGCCUUAUUAUUCCAACUAGAAAAUGGGGAUAAUAAUUCCUACCUCAAAGGACUGUUGUUGGAAUCAAGCAAGAAAGUGUUCUAAAGAGAUUAGAGAGAGGUACUAAUGCCAUAUCCACGGGCCAUCACACCCCUGACAGUUUCACUUGGGUUUUCCACCUUCCA
rnacentral:lncRNA from 1 species